CCUACGGGAGGCAGCAGUGGGGAAUUUUGGACAAUGGACGCAAGUCUGAUCCAGCCAUUCCGCGUGCAGGACGAAGGCCUUCGGGUUGUAAACUGCUUUUGUACGGAACGAAAAAGCUCUUAUUAAUACUAGGAGUCCAUGACGGUACCGUAAGAAUAAGCACCGGCUAACUACGUGCCAGCAGCCGCGGUAAUACGUAGGGUGCAAGCGUUAAUCGGAAUUACUGGGCGUAAAGCGUGCGCAGGCGGUUAUAUAAGACAGAUGUGAAAUCCCCGAGCUUAACUUGGGAACUGCAUUUGUGACUGUAUAGCUAGAGUACGGCAGAGGGGGAUGGAAUUCCGCGUGUAGCAGUGAAAUGCGUAGAUAUGCGGAGGAACACCGAUGGCGAAGGCAAUCCCCUGGGCCUGUACUGACGCUCAUGCACGAAAGCGUGGGGAGCAAACAGGAUUAGAUACCCUGGUAGUCCACGCCCUAAACGAUGUCAACUGGUUGUUGGGUCUUCACUGACUCAGUAACGAAGCUAACGCGUGAAGUUGACCGCCUGGGGAGUACGGCCGCAAGGUUGAAACGUCAAAGGAAGUUAGACGG
rnacentral:rRNA from 1 species